rnacentral:rRNA from 1 species
UACGGCGAGUGAAGCGGCAACAGCUCAAAUUUGAAAUCUGGCCUUCGGGUCCGAGUUGUAAUUUGUAGAGGAUGCUUUUGGUGAGGUGCCUUCCGAGUUCCCUGGAACGGGACGCCAUAGAGGGUGAGAGCCCCGUCUGGUUGGACACCGAUCCUCUGUAAAGCUCCUUCGACGAGUCGAGUAGUUUGGGAAUGCUGCUCUAAAUGGGAGGUAUAUGUCUUCUAAAGCUAAAUAUUGGCCAGAGACCGAUAGCGCACAAGUAGAGUGAUCGAAAGAUGAAAAGCACUUUGAAAAGAGAGUUAAAAAGUACGUGAAAUUGUUGAAAGGGAAGCGCUCAUGACCAGACUUGGGCUUGGUUGAUCAUCCAGGGUUCUCCCUGGUGCACUCUUCCAGUUCAGGCCAGCAUCAGUUCGCUGUGGGGGAUAAAGGCUUUGGGAAUGUGGCUCCCUCGGGAGUGUUAUAGCCCAUUGUGUAAUACCCUGUGGUGGACUGAGGUUCGCGCAUUCGCAAGGAUGCUGGCGUAAUGGUCAUCAGCGACCCGUCUUGAAACACGGACCAAGGAGUCGUCUUCGUAUGCGAGUGUUCGGGUGUUAAACCCCUACGCGUAAUGAAAGUGAACGCAGGUGAGAGCUUCGGCGCAUCAUCGACCGAUCCUGAUGUUCUCGGAUGGAUUUGAGUAAGAGCAUACGGGGCCGGACCCGAAAGAAGGUGAACUAUGCCUGUAUAGGGUGAAGCCAGAGGAAACUCUGGUGGAGGCUCGCAGCGGUUCUGACGUGCAAAUCGAUCGUCAAAUAUGGGCA